GACUCUCCAAUGAAAGACACGGCCAGUUCAACAAAAGACAUGAUUUUUUCUAAGAACAGAGUAACUAUGAAAGAGAUGGAUAGACAGCGAGGAGAGAGGGGUUUCAGGAGGGUGGAUUUGCAAGCGGCUAGUUGUGUUUAUCAGGAUGCUUAUCUUCUCUAUCAGAGAGAGGGAACUGGAACUGAAAGAGGAUGAGAGGCAGGGGGGGGAGCAG
rnacentral:misc_RNA from 1 species